CCUACGGGAGGCAGCAGUCGGGAAUAUUGCGCAAUGGAGGAAACCCUGACGCAGUGACGCCGCGUGCAGGAAGAAGGUUUUCGGAUCGUAAACUGCUAUAGACAGGGAAGAAAAAAGCCAGUACUUGUAGAAUAAGCCCCGGCUAAUUACGUGCCAGCAGCCGCAGCAAUACGUAGGGAGCAAGCGUUAUCCGGAUUUAUUGGGUGUAAAGGGUGCGUAGACGGGAAAACAAGUUAGUUGUGAAAUCCCUCAGCUUAACUGAGGAACUGCAACGAAAACUAUUUUACUUGAGUGCUGGAGAGGAAAGUGGAAUUCCUGGUGUAGCGGUGAAAUGCGUAGAUAUUAGGAGGAACACCAGUGGCGAAGGCGACUUUCUGGACAGUAACUGACGUUGAGGCACGAAAGUGUGGGGAGCAAACAGGAUUAGAUACCCGAGUAGUC
rnacentral:rRNA from 1 species